rnacentral:tRNA from 1 species
GCCGGGGUGGCGGAACUGGCAUACGCGUCGGUCUCAAAAACCGAUGACCGCAAGGUCAUGAGGGUUCGACCCCCUCCCUCGGCA